rnacentral:rRNA from 1 species
UACGUAGGGGGCAAGCGGUUGUCCGGAUUUAUUGGGCGUAAAGAGCGUGUAGGCGGCCAUGUAGGUCCGUUGUGAAAACUCGAGGCUCAACCUCGAGACGCCGAUGGAAACCAUGUGGCUAGAGUCCGGAAGAGGAGAGUGGAAUUCCGUGGUGUAGCGGUGAAAUGCGCAGAUAUCAAGGAAGAACACCCGUGGCUAAGGCGGCUCUCUAGUACGGUACUGACGCUGAGACGCGAAAGCGUGGGGAGCAAACAGG